GUCUUUUUGUAUUUAUAAAAAGUCUGACCUGCCCACUGAUUUUUUUAAUGGCCGCAGUAUUUUAACUGUGCAAAGGUAGCAUAAUCAUUAGUUUUUUAAUUGAGAACUAGUAUGAAUGGUUGGACGAAAAAUUAUCUGUUUCAUUUAAAUUUAUUAUAGAAUUUUAUUUUUUAGUUAAAAAGCUAAAAUUUUUAUAAAAGACGAGAAGACCCUAUAAAUCUUUAUAAUUAUUUAAAUAAAUAAUAAUUUGAAUAUUCAUUUUUUAUUUUUUAUAUUAUUUUAUUGGGGUGAUAUUAAAAUUUAAUAAACUUUUAAUAUUUAUUUUUACAUUAAUUUAUGAUUUAUUGAUCCAUUAUUAUUGAUUAAAAGAACAAGUUACUUUAGGGAUAACAGCGUUAUUUUUUUUAAGAGUUCUUAUUUAUAAAAAAGAUUGCGACCUCGAUGUUGGAUUAAGAUAAUUUUUAGGUGUAGUCGCUUAAAUUUUAAGUCUGUUCGACUUUUAAAUUCUUACAUGAUCUGAGUUCAAACCGG
rnacentral:rRNA from 1 species